CUUUUCGAGGUAGGAGUCGAGUACUGUAAGGUAUGGUGCUGGGUGCAGAUGCAGUGUGGCUCUGGAUAGCACCUUAUGGACAGUUGUGUCCCCAAGGAAGGAUGAGAAUAGCUACUGAAGUCCUAAACAGCAAGCCUAACUCAAGCCAUUGGCACACAGGCAUUAGACAGAAAGCUGGAAGUUGAAAUGGUGGAGUCCAACUUGCCUGGACCAGCUUAAUGGUUCUGCUCCUGGUAACGUUUUUAUCCAUGGAUGACUUGCUUGGGUAAGGACAUGAAGACAGUUCCUGUCAUACCUUUUAAAGGUAUGGAGAGUCGGCUUGACUACACUGUGUGGAGCAACUUUUAAAGAAGCAAAGGUAUAGCAGUCCCAAGUAUUUCUUUUUUUUUUUUUUAGACAAGAGUCUAGCUCUUGCCCAGAAUGGAGUGCAGCGGCACUAUCAGUUCACUGCAACCUCUGCCUACCAGGUUCAAGGAAUUCUCCUGCCUCAGCCUCUUGAGUAGCUGGGAUUACAGGCAUGUGACACCAUGCCUGGCUAAUUUUUGUACAGCUAUGUUGUCCAGGCUGGUCUCGAACUCUUGACCUCAAGUGAUACUGCCCGCACUGACCUCCCAAAGUGCUGGGAUUACAGGCGU
rnacentral:sRNA from 1 species